rnacentral:rRNA from 1 species
AGUGAACGCUGGCGGUAGGCCUAACACAUGCAAGUCGAACGGCAGCACAGUAAGAGCUUGCUCUUACGGGUGGCGAGUGGCGGACGGGUGAGGAAUACAUCGGAAUCUACUUUUUCGUGGGGGAUAACGUAGGGAAACUUACGCUAAUACCGCAUACGACCUACGGGUGAAAGCAGGGGAUCUUCGGACCUUGCGCGAUUGAAUGAGCCGAUGUCGGAUUAGCUAGUUGGCGGGGUAAAGGCCCACCAAGGCGACGAUCCGUAGCUGGUCUGAGAGGAUGAUCAGCCACACUGGAACUGAGACACGGUCCAGACUCCUACGGGAGGCAGCAGUGGGGAAUAUUGGACAAUGGGCGAAAGCCUGAUGCAGCCAUACCGCGUGGGUGAAGAAGGCCUUCGGGUUGUAAAGCCCUUUUGUUGGGAAAGAAAAGCAGCAGGUUAAUACCACGCUGCUCUGACGGUACCCAAAGAAUAAGCACCGGCUAACUUCGUG